UACAGAGGGUGCGAGCGUUAAUCGGAAUUACUGGGCGUAAAGCGUGCGUAGACGGUUAUUUAAGUCGGGUGUGAAAGCCCCGGGCUCAACCUGGGAAUUGCAUUCGAGACUGAAUAGCUAGGGUACGGUAGGGGAGACUGGAAUUCCUGGUGUAGCGGUGAAAUGCGCAGAUAUCAGGAGGAACACCGGUGGCGAAGGCGGGUCUCUGGGCCGAUACUGACGCUGAGGAGCGAAAGCGUGGGGAGCGAACAGG
rnacentral:rRNA from 1 species